rnacentral:rRNA from 1 species
CCUACGGGGGGCAGCAGUGGGGAAUAUUGCGCAAUGGGCGAAAGCCUGACGCAGCGACGCCGCGUGAGGGAUGAAGGUCUUCGGAUCGUAAACCUCUGUCAGCAGGGAAGCACGGUCACUGUGCUAUUCAGCAGUGAAUUGACGGUACCUGCAAAGGAAGCACCGGCUAACUCCGUGCCAGCAGCCGCGGUAAUACGGAGGGCGCGAGCGUUAAUCGGAAAUACUGGGCUUAAAGCGCUCGUAGGCGGUAUGGCAAGUCAAGGGUGAAAGCCCCGGGCUCAACGGGGGAACUGCCUAUGAAACUGGGAAACUGGAGUGUGUGAGAGGAUAGUGGAAUUCCAGGUGUAGGAGUGAAAUCCGUAGAUAUCGGGAGGAACAUCAGUGGCGAAGGCGACUAUCUGGCACAUAACUGACGCUGAGGAGCGAAAGCGUGGGUAGCAAACAGGAUUAGAUACCCCUGUAGUC